rnacentral:rRNA from 1 species
AUUGAACGCUGGCGGCGUGCUUAACACAUGCAAGUCGAUCGGUAACAGGCCCUUCGGGGUGCUGACGAGAGGCGGACGGGUGAGUAACGCUUGGGAAUCUGCCCAUCAGCGGGGGACAACCCGGGGAAACUCGGGCUAAUACCGCAUACGCUCUAAGGAGGAAAGCAGGGGACCGCAAGGCCUUGCACUGAUGGAUGAGCCCAAGUCGGAUUAGCUUGUUGGUGAGGUAAAGGCUCACCAAGGCGACGAUCCGUAGCUGGUCUGAGAGGACGAUCAGCCACACUGGGACUGAGACACGGCCCAGACUCCUACGGGAGGCAGCAGUGGGGAAUAUUGGACAAUGGGGGAAACCCUGAUCCAGCGACGCCGCGUGGGUGAAGAAGGCCUGCGGGUUGUAAAGCCCUUUCGGUAGGGACGAAAGCUUCCGAUCUAAUAAAUCGGAAGGUUGACUUAACCUACAAAAGAAGCACCGGCUAACUCUGUG